rnacentral:rRNA from 1 species
AGUGAACGCUGGCGGUAGGCCUAACACAUGCAAGUCGAACGGCAGCACAGUAAGAGCUUGCUCUUACGGGUGGCGAGUGGCGGACGGGUGAGGAAUACAUCGGAAUCUACUUUUUCGUGGGGGAUAACGUAGGGAAACUUACGCUAAUACCGCAUACUACCUACGGGUGAAAGCAGGGGAUCUUCGGACCUUGCGCGAUUGAAUUAGCCGAUGUCGGAUUAGCUAGUUGGCGGGGUAAAGGCCCACCAAGGCGACGAUCCGUAGCUGGUCUGAGAGGAUGAUCAGCCACACUGGAACUGAGACACGGUCCAGACUCCUACGGGAGGCAGCAGUGGGGAAUAUUGGACAAUGGGCGCAAGCCUGAUCCAGCCAUACCGCGUGGGUGAAGAAGGCCUUCGGGUUGUAAAGCCCUUUUGUUGGGAAAGAAAAGCAGCAGGUUAAUACCCCGCUGUUCUGACGGUACCCAAAGAAUAAGCACCGGCUAACUUCGUG